UACGUAGGGUGCAAGCGUUGUCCGGAAUUAUUGGGCGUAAAGAGCUUGUAGGCGGUUUGUCGCGUCUGCUGUGAAAUUUCGGGGCUCAACCCCGAACUUGCAGUGGGUACGGGCAGACUAGAGUGUGGUAGGGGAGACUGGAAUUCAUGGUGUAGCAGUGAAAUGCGCAGAUAUCAGGAAGAACACCCGUGGCUAAGGCGGCUCUCUAGUACGGUACUGACGCUGAGACGCGAAAGCGUGGGGAGCGAACAGG
rnacentral:rRNA from 1 species